rnacentral:misc_RNA from 1 species
AAGUCGUAACAAGGUAACCGUAGGUGAACCUGCGGUUGGAUCAUUAUUGAAAAAUAAUAUCAUUUUUUUUUAAAUAGGAAAGUGCCUAUGAACCUCUAAAAGGGGAUAGUAGGUCUUCCUAUUCAAAAAAAAAUAUCAACCUAAACCUUGUGAAAUGAUAUAAUCAUGUCUUUGGAGUCACUUAUUGUAUUAUGAAAGGUCUUAACAACUUUUCUUUUAAUACAAAGAUGAGGACUCCUACUUAUAAACUUAUUUUUAAUAUACUUAUUCUUUUAAUACUAAAAAAAACGAAUAGCCAAUAAGGAGAAAUCUUUUAUUUGUACUAAUCGUUUUUGAAAGUUAUAAUAACAAAUAACUAGUAAAAAACUUUUGACAAUGGAUCUCUUGGCUCUC